CACUCUCUGGCCAUUUACAGAAUAAGCCUGCUGACCCUCUCCGAUAAAACUUCCCAUAAUCAUGGGAAUGUUCUAUAUCUUUGCUGUCCAAUAUGGUAGCCACUAGCCACAUGUGACUAUUGAACAUUUGAAAUGUGGCAAGCAGGCCAAGCAUGGUGGCUCACGCCUAUAAUCCCAGCACUGUGGGAGGUCAAGACAGGAGGAUCACUGGAGCUCAGAAGUUCGAGGCAAGCCUGGGCAACAUAGUGAGACCCCAUCUCUACAACAAUAUAUAAAAAUUAGCUGGGCAUGGUGGCACAUGCCUGUAGUCCUAGCUACACAGGAGGCUGAUGUGGGAUGAUUGCUUGGACCUAGGAGGUCAAGGCUGCAGUGAGCUGAGAUUACACCACUGCACUCCAGCCUGGGCAACACAGCAAGACCCUGUCUCAAAAAAAAAAAAAAAAAGAAAAGAAAAGAAAAGAAAAAAAGAAAUAUGGCAAGCACUGAGGAAUUGAAUUGUUAACAUUAUUUAAUGUAAGUAAAUUUCAGCUGGGUGCAGUGACUCACACCUGUAAUCCCAGCACUUUGACAGGCUGAGGCAGGUGCAUCAGCUGAGGUCACAAGUUCCAGACUGGCCUGGCCAACAUAGUGAAACCCUGUCUCUACUAAAAAUACAGAAUUAGCCGGGCUUGGUGGCGCAUGCCUGUAAUCCCAGCUACUUGGGAGGCUGAGGUAGGAGAAUCGCUUGAACCCGGGUGGCAGAGGUUGCAGUGAGCCAAGAUUGUGCCAUUGCACUUCAGCCUGGGCAACAAGAGUGAAACUCUGUCUCAAUAAUAAUAAUAGUCAUAAUAAUUUAAUUUAAUUUUUUUUUGAGACAGAGUCUCACUCUGUUGCCCAGGGCUGGAGUGCAGUGGUGCGAUCUCAUCUCACUGCAACCUCCACCUCCUGGGUCCAAGGGAUUCUCCUGCCUCAGCCUCCUGGGUAGCUGGGAUUACAGGCGUGAGCCACCGUGCCCGGCCUAAUUUAAUUAAAUUUAAAUAGCCACAGCACAUCAAGUCCAGCCUUCUGAGCUUCCCUCCACUGGCCUUACAAGAUCCCUCACUCCCUUAUUGCUUUCAGACCCCAUAGCCCUGUUGUAUCAUCCUAGGAAUCUAGAAAUGAGUCUCUCAAAAUCUCACUUCUUCAACACAGUGCCUGAAAUUCCACCAUCAGUGUGCCAACUCCUUGAGUUUAGCAUUUCCUUCACCCCCGAUUCCACUUUUAAGUUGCAAAUAGCCCAGUGAGGGUUACAGACGGAAUGGGCAAAACCUCCCCGUGAAGUAGAUGGUCCAAGGGCUGCCUGGUCUUUGGAAGCUGAAGUGGACAUUGCAAAGGGAGCAAUGGUGUCAAGGCUGGAUGCCGCGCCAUUAGAGCUUAGGGUCCAGAGCCCACGGUGGGAAUGAGGGCAGCUGCUAUUGCUCUUACCUGCCAGGGCCAGCUGUAGGGGACCGCAUCCUCACCAUUGACAACGCGGCUGGAAGGGCGAGAGGAAGGUGGGCCAUAGCCUGAGGCUAGAGGGGAGAGGAGAGCUGUCAAUCAGCGGGAGGGUCCCCAAAAGCAAAGAGGAGGCCAGGGUCCCAGUCCAAGCCGUGCCUUCAAGUGGCUGUGUGACCCCAUGCAAGCCCCUUUCGCCCUCUGGACCUCAGUAACCACAUAUGAAUAGUGAACAUUUAAACUAGAGCAGGGCUUUCCAGAAUCCCAAGACUCCAGGGAUAGAGAUUCAAAUGUGGCCUCCUUCAUUGGGAGGAUUGAAGAGCUUGAUACACUUAGAACAAUGCCUGGCCCUCAAUGAGCCCUCAAAAAGUGAGAGCUAUUGUCAUACAGAGUGGAGGCUUUAAAGAAGGACUUCCUGGGUUCAAAGUGCAGCUCUGGGCUGUGUGUGGUGGUUCACACCUGUAAUCCUAGUGCUUUGAGAGGCCGAGGCGGGAGGAUCGCUUGAGCCCGGGAGUUUGAGACCAGCCUGGGCAACAUAGCAAGACCUCAUCUCUAGAAAAAUAAAGUACAAUAAAAUAAAGUAGCCAGGUAUGGUGGCAUGUGCCUAUAAUCUCAGCUACUCAGGAGGCUAAGGUGGUAGGAUUGCUUGAGGCCAAGAUUUUGAGACCAGUCUGGGCAACAAAGCAAGACCCCAUCUCAACAAAAAAAAAAGCAAAAAAUAAAAACAUUAAGUGCAGCUCUGCCUUUUGUUCUAUGAUAAGCUACUUUACUUCCUUGAGGGUCGGUAAAAUGGGGAAAAUGAUAGUACUGAUCUCCUGAGGCUGUUGUGAGAAUUACAUGAGAAAGUAUAAGGAAAACCCUAAACAUUCUGCCUGGCAUAGUAAGCACUCAAUCAAUGUUAUCUGUUACCAUUAUUGUCAGUCAAGGGAGGCUGCUUGGAAGAGGUGGCCCUGAGCUGGAAUGUAAUAUGGCAGAGAGACCAGGAAAAGGCCAGAGCAUAGAAUAUGGAGCCAGGUAGGGGGAGUGUGAGAGGAGAGUUGGAGUGGUAAGCAGAACAGUGGAAAUUCCAACCCAAGAAGUCCAACCACACAGCCCAAACUCUUAACCGUUUGACUUUGUUUACUGCCCCCAUCAAGGACUUCCACCACAGCCCUUUGGGGUCUUUCUCCAUCCACGGCUUCCCCUCCACUCUCCUGCUCCAUCAUAAGCUGAAAGCCCCCACAGUCAUGCCCCCGGGUACAAGCUGAGACCCCCUCCUGUGGAACCAGGCAUAGGGUGUCAUGGGACUUAGAGCAAGUGGUAGAUUUCAAGGAUUCCUAAUCUAGGGCAGCCCAGGGAGCACACACACAGGUUGGGGUCUUACCAACGGCCACAAGGAGGAGGGAACUGAGCAGCCGGAGCAUCAUGAGUUUUGCGAUGAUAGGAAAAGGGCACAGAACCUGGGGCUCUAAUAUAGGGCAGAAGGUAAGCAAAGGGGGCUGACUGGGCCCCACUCCCAGAACAGGUGGUGGAAAUGCAGGUCUCCCAUGGUCCAAGGCCACAGUUCUCACUCACUGCAGAUGGAGGAGUGACAGCCAAAGGAAGGACCUAGCGUUCCCUCCAACAGGUGGCCGCACAGGUGGUGUGGAGUGGCCAACUGAUAACAAGAGUUCAGGAAGAAAAGCUCAUGUCAGGACAAGACCUCCUCUUUCGGAAAGAACAGGGGCACUGGAACCGGGCAGACCACGGUUCAAUCCUGGUUCUGCCACCUCCAAGCUCUGCGACUUUGGGCGCAUGGCUUAACCUCUCUGAGUCUCAGUUUUCUGCUCUCUAACAUGAGAUUUAUAUUAGUACCCACCUCCACAAAAAAUUUUUUGUUGAGCACUUUUUCUCUAUGUAUCAGGCACUGUUCUAGGGGAUACAGCUGUGAAAAAUACAUGGUCUCAGCCCUUCUAGAGUUUGAGUCUAGGCCAGGAGCGGUGGCUCACACCUGUGAUCCCAGCGCUUUGGGAGGCCAAGGUGGGAGGAUCAAUUGAGGUCAGAAGUUUGAAACAUGGUGAAACCUUAUCUCUACUAAAACUACAAAAAUUAGCAGGCGUGGUGGUGGGCACCUAUAAUCCCAGCACCGGUAAUCCUAGCUACUGUGAGCCUGAGGGAGGAGAAUCAUUUGAACCCAGGAGGCAGGGAGGCAGAGGUUGCAGUGAGCCGAGAUCAUGCCACUGCACUCCUGCCUGGGCCACAGAGCAAGACUGUCUCAAAAACAAACAAACAAACAAACAAAACAGAAAAGAAAAUGGGGCGGGCACGGUGGCUCACGCCUGUAAUCCCAGCACUUUGGGAGGCUGAGGUGGGUGGAUCACGAGGUCAGGAGAUCGACACCAUCCUGGCUAACACGGUGAAACCCCGUCUCCACUAAAAAUACAAAAUGUUAGCCGGGCGAGGUGGCGGGCGCCUGUAGCCCCAGCUACUCAGGAGAGUGAGGCAAGAGAAUGGCGUGAACCCCAGGGGGCAGAGCCUGCAGUGAGCCAAGAUGGCGCCCCUGCACUCCAGCCUGGGCGACAGCGAGACUCCGUGUCAAAAAAAAAAAAAGAAAAUGAAAAUGGGUGAUUGGGGUAGGAAUGGAGUAAGUCAUUUAGAUGAGGGGGACAGAGAAAGUGACAUUUGGGCUGAGGAGGUCAUAUCUGAUGGAGUCCUGAGGAUAAGUAAAAGCCAGCAACGGGAAUCCCUGAAAGAAACGCGUUCUGAAGGGAGGCGACAGCAGGUGCGAAGUUCUGGAGGCUGCAAUGGGCUUGGCUUGUUCAAGGAAAGGGAGGCCAGUGUGACAGGAGCUUGGUAGUCAAAGUAGAGAGGGGUGGGAGAUGAGGUCAAAGAGCAGGCAACCCCGAAAGUGGAAUUCACAGGUGAUCCAGCGGUUUCCCUCCUAGGUCUACACCGUGAGAAAACCUUAGGCAUGUGCUCCAGGAGGUGUGGAUGAGAUUGUUUGCCGCAGCCCCUGUUCUCAAACCUCAACAGCAAAGACCUAGAAACAACUCCCACGUCCAUCAAGGUUCAUAGGUCAAUAUGUGUAGCAUAUUCACACAAUAGAUUUUUUUUUUUUAUAGUGGUGCGAUCUUGGCUCACUGCAACCUCCACCUCACGG
rnacentral:lncRNA from 10 species